rnacentral:lncRNA from 1 species
GAAAGAAGCAGGUGCUGAUCACUUGGUGAACAUUUUAAAAGGCUUAAACUUGAGGAAAUAACAUUUAUUGAGAAUUUAGAAUUCCAAGUAUGGGUAAGCUGGCUCUGGCCUCUCUGCUGCUUGAUUGGUGCCAUUUCCUGUUUUACUCAAUGUUCCAGUCCCUUUCCAUUUUUCCAUUUUCCUGGAAAAAGCUUCUAUCCUGGGAAAGCCAGUUUCAUUCAGUCACUGGGUGUAUCUCAAUGUGCCGAUGCCUGAAGUAAAGAUAGUGACAAUCACCUGCCCAUAGUGACACCAGAGAGUCCACAACGACCAGGUCUCAUGACACGCUACGCAACACCCAGAGCCCUUUGAGUUUACAGUCCCGUCUCUAAUCUCUCGUCCCUGCCCUUCAAGCUCUAGUGGUCUCUCAGCCACAGCAUUUUUACAGGGCUUUGACGUCAGGGCCGCUCUGGUCGCUCCAUGUGAUGUGACAGAGAGGAGCAGUGAGGUUUUCAGCAAUCACUUGUGGGAAUUACCGCGGAUCGAGAGAGAGCCAUGAUCUUCUCCCUGCCCAUUCCACACUGUCGGCAUGUGACUUUUCUUACACCCUUUCACGCCUGGGCCCUCACAUGUGCCUGGAAAUGCAAACAACUUUCCUCUCUGAGCCAGUCACAGGAAGGAUGCAGCCAGGAAGACCAGUGAGGCUACCUUUCCACAGUACUGGGAACAUCUCCGCUGAAAACCCAUCAUGGUUCUGGGUCAAAAGCAGCACGGAAACAAGUGGAAUUGCCUGCAGACUCAUUCUGAAUAAAGGGUGGGUCCACAUGGAGAAGGCUGCAUCCAGAUGUGCUUGUGAUUGGGGUCAGCAGAUGCGAAGCAAGGCAUGGAAAUGAUACAGCAUCUAGACCAACUGAUUCAGGAUUGAUACUUUCUGAAGGGAAGACACUUAGAAG